CCUACGGGGGGCAGCAGUAGGGAAUAUUGCUCAAUGGGGGCAACCCUGAAGCAGCAACGCCGCGUGGAGGAUGAAGGUUUUCUGAUUGUAAACUCCUUUUGUUAGAGAAGAUAAUGACGGUAUCUAACGAAUAAGCACCGGCUAACUCCGUGCCAGCAGCCGCGGGAAUACGGAGGGUGCAAGCGUUACUCGGAAUCACUGGGCGUAAAGAGCGCGUAGGCGGGAUAGCAAGUCAGAUGUGAAAUCCUAUGGCUUAACCAUAGAACUGCAUUUGAAACUGUUAGUCUAGAGAAUAGGAGAGGUAGGUGGAAUUCUUGGUGUAGGGGUAAAAUCCGUAGAGAUCAAGAGGAAUACUCAUUGCGAAGGCGACCUGCUAGAACAUAACUGACGCUGAUGCGCGAAAGCGUGGGGAGCAAACAGGAUUAGAUACCCGUGUAGUC
rnacentral:rRNA from 1 species